rnacentral:rRNA from 1 species
CGCUUUCCGGUUGAUCCUGCCGGAGGCUACUGCUAUUGGGAUUCGACUAAGCCAUGCGAGUCAAGGUGUCUUCGGACGCCGGCGUACGGCUCAGUAACACGUAGGUAACCUAACCUCAGGACUGAGAUAACCCCGGGAAACUGGGGCUAAUAUUAGAUAGAUAAAAGGUACUGGAAUGUUCUUUUAUCCAAAGCUUUUGCGCCUGAGGAUGGGCCUGCGUCCGAUUAGGUUGUUGGUGGGGUAAUGGCCCACCAAGCCUGCGAUCGGUACGGGCAGUGAGAGCUGAAGCCCGGAGUUGGGGACUGAGACAAGGCCCCAGGCCCUACGGGGCGCAGCAGGCGCGAAACCUCUGCAAUGCGGGAAACCGUGACAGGGGGAUCCCAAGUGCUCAUGCAUUGCAUGGGCUGUUCUUUGGUCUAAGUAACCAGAGGAGUAAGGGCUGGGCAAGACCGGUGCCAGCCGCCGCGGUAAUACCGGCAGCUCAAGUGGUAGCCGCGAUUAUUGGGCCUAAAGCGUUCGUAGCCGGAUAAGUAAGUCUUUGGUUAAAUCCUGCAACUCAACUGUGGGAAAUCUAGGGAUACUGCUUGUCUUGAGACCGGGAGAGGUUAGAGGUACUCCUAGGGUAGGGGUGAAAUCCUGUAAUCCUAGGGGGACCACCUGUGGCGAAGGCGUCUAACUGGAACGGGUCUGACGGUGAGGGACGAAACCUAGGGGAGCGAGCCGGAUUAGAUACCCGGGUAGUCCUAGGCGUAAAUGAUGCGAGUUAAGUGUGGGGGCAUCUACGAGAUGGCCCUGUGCUGUAGGGUAGCCGUUAAACUCGCCGCCUUGGGAGUACGGUCGCAAGGCUGAGACUUAAAGGAAUUGGCGGGGGAGCACCACAAGAGGUGGAGGCUGCGGUUCAAUUGGAUUCAACGCCGGA